CAAGUCGAUUAGACAUAAAAUAGCAUCACAUCUACAUCGCUGUAGCAAACUCGGCAUCUUGUGUCCUUGAGUUGCUCGUGUAUAAAAUCACGCCCAUAGGAUCAGUAACACGGCAGUAUUCAGAGUAUGAUGUUCAAGUCUGAUACUGGCCACGAUACGCCGAAUUCUUGGCGUAUAAAGUCUGUGAGUAUUUAAAUGAUCUAUCACAAUCUAAAUACGGGAUGCAUCCCGUCGAACGUUUCUGCUCGUGUUU